rnacentral:rRNA from 1 species
ACGCUCGACACCUACGUGAGGCAGCAGUCGGGAAUAUUGCGCAAUGGAGGAAACUCUGACGCAGUGACGCCGCGUAUAGGAAGAAGGUUUUCGGAUUGUAAACUAUUGUCGUUAGGGAAGAUACAAGACAGUACCUAAGGAGGAAGCACCGGCUAACUAUGUGCCAGCAGCCGCGGUAAUCUGAGCGGGCUGGCAAGGC